UUCGACCAAAUCAAGUUUAAACACCGGUUCGCGUAAAAUCACCGAAGUUAAGCAAUGUCGAGCUUAGUCAGUACCUAGAUGGGUGACCACUUGGGAAGCCAGGUGCUGUAAG
rnacentral:rRNA from 1 species